GCUGCCCGGUCACGAAGAGGACAAGACGGAAUCAGAGUCCAAAGGGGAUACCACUGAGAUGGUUCCACACUCUCCCGGUAAAGGCCGCAUGAACCCGGUGCUGGACGAAGGCCCUAAACAUAACUCACAGGAAAGCGGGAGCACAUCUAACUGGCUGGUCGUAGUGGGUGUGAUAGUGGCGGUGGCGGCCAUUCUUCUGGUGUGCGCGGUGGUGGCCAAGAGGAACACCUUGUGCGGGAAACAGCAGACCCUCAUGAUCACCAAAGAGGGCGGCGAAGGCAACGGAACGGCCAUGUCCGCCUCCAGCUCACACGCCCAGGAGAGAGAGCAGGAGAUGGUCACGCUCAUGAACAAGGAAAAGAUCCAAGAGAACGGCAACACAGAGGAAUUCACCGUCAUCACGCUAGAGGAGUCUCCAGACAAGGACCAGACCGCCUGAAACACAUCACACUCAACG
ensembl:lncRNA